GCCGACUUCCAUGGCCACCGUCCUGCUGUCUUUAGUUACUAACGCCUUUUGUGGGGUCCGAUAUGCGUUGAUUUUGGCACUAUAACCUUACGACCGGUUCAUCCCGCAUCGCCAGUUCUGCUUACCAAAAAUGGCCCACUGAAGGCCUUUACUAUCUAUCCAUUUGCUACGUAGCACGCUAGCUAAUGGAAAACACACACAUUAACAGUUUGAGAAUAGGUUGAGAACGUUUCGAACCCAACGACUCUAAUCAUUCGCUUUACCGCAUGUGACUAUCGUUACUAGACCUCAGCUAUCCUUAGGGAAACUUCGAAAGGAACCAGCUACUAGAUGGUUCGAUUGGUCUUUCGCCCCUAUACAUAGUUCUGAUGAUCGAUUUGCACGUCAGAACCAUUGCGGACCUCCACCAGAGUUUCCCCUGGCUUCAUCCUUUCCAUGCAUAGUUCACCAUCUUUCGGGUUCCAGAGCACGAGCUACGAGUACGGCAGUGCCAUUGCUGACACGUAAUUGCCAUCUCCGAUUUGCCUAGACGCCGAUAUAUAUAUGGACGUCUCAUCAUACAAACUUGAAACGCCGAAGCGUUUCUCGAUUGCUUUCGUUAAGUUUGACGGAUUCUAUAAAAUGAACCUUUGCGUCACGCUCGUUCGCUGGACUCCUUGGUCC
rnacentral:rRNA from 1 species